UUUUUAGGUUACUUUAUUAAUGGUAACAAAAUAUCGGGGAAGUUUAGGAUGACUUUCUAGGAAGUGGGAUUGCUUUUACAACGAACUUGGCUAAGAAGGUCAUCUGAUGCAGGGGUUUUUAUCUUUCCGGAAGUUUGGUCUUUAGUAGUACUGAUCCUUCCUUCCUUGAGAGGUUUCUAUCUUUUGGGGCAUUGAUUUGCUUUGGUAGGAAUAUCUCUCUAGUAUGUAUGUGUGUGUGUGUAUUAUAUAAUUAUCCAGUUGUCUUAGAAUAAAACCUAAUUUUGUUAUCUUUUAACUCAAAUAAUUUCACCAUUUUUUUGCCUUAGAAUAACAAAACCUAAUUUUGUUAUCCUUUAACUCAAAUAAUUUCACCAUUUUUUUGCCCUGCAACGACUAAUAAAACUUUUUUUACUAAUAAAAAUAACAAAACUGUUGCAGUCCUAUUAGAUUAGGAAUGUGAUUGUGUAAAUCCUAACAUAUCUAAGAUAUCCUUAUGGGAUUGUACCACAUCUCUUAGACUAGAAAUUAUCCUAUUAGAGUUAUAAUACACCCAUGAAAACCCGAAUUUUUCAUGUAUAUCAUGUCUUAGAACCCGAAUGUUCUAACUUUGAUGCUUAUGGAUAUUUUAUUUCCUAUAGCAUUAUUCACAAUUUUGUUCCCUCCAUUCAAUGGAUUGUCGAACCGUCACAAGUUCGAUCUCACUAAUUUGGACGUUUCUAACAGAAACCACUUUAUGUGGGUACAAAACGUGAAUCUCCACUUAACUAUCUAGAGGUUGAGAAACUAUUGUAACCAACAAUGGCACGGAAAAGCUAAAUAAGCCUCCACCAUGAUCUUCAUUUCAAGACUUAUACCUGAAGCAUUACAAACUGAAUUACCUCCCGAACGAGGAUUCCAUGAAUGAAUAUGAUUCUAAAGUUUAUAAAUCCGAUCAAAUUUUGACUGGAGAAUAUUUUUCUCAUCCUUCCAUGUUUCUAACUCGUUCCUAAAGCAACAGUGUAGAAAGAGGAAGUUUACCAAAUUCUUGGAUCUAAUUACUACCAUAAAUGUGAGAAAACGGUAUAGACUCAGCUUCGACUAGAGUCUACCGAAUGGUUAUGCCCUACUUUGGCAGGGAUGCACCGAAGGGCAUGCUCUACUUCGGCAAAGAUGCACCAAACGGUAUUGCUCUUCUUCAGCAAAGGCCUACUGAACAAACCCCUCCAGCUGGAGCCUACCAAACCCAAGUCUGGGUCUAUCUCUCUCACAUUCGAGUUUGUUUUUACAACAUAUGGUAAAAUCAGGGCUUGCCAAGGUGUGACAUCAUGCCCGAAGCGUGAUCCUUGGCACCUAAGACCUAAAACUUCAAGAAUAAACGAUAAUAUUUCCGAACCUCAACCCUGCAGAAUCUACUUCUGUCUCAAUGAAAUAGAUCAUUGGUUAUGCACCUGUUCGUGCCUCUCUCCCAAUGUCGUUAAGGAGUACCAUUCUCGUAGUCAAUAUGUAAAACUAAUUUUGCUCCACCGAACACCGUUGGAAGAGUAGAAUUUUGACAUGAAUGGCCUUGUUGGCCGAAUCCCCUCAAUAAUUUUGAUUUACUUUGUGAACAUUUUUCUAUGUUCUUGGAUUCCAGUUUGGUGUUUGUUUUAGUUAUGGAUCAUCUUAUCAAUAUUGUCCUUGAAUAUGAGUUAAUUGAAUCAUGUUUCUUGUAUACAUGUGACCAAAUUCAAUUAAAUACGUGGUUAGGUACAAAUGUAGGAAAGUUAGUUGUCUGGAUGAACAUGAUACUACGCACACUAACUUUAUACCUAAAUGACAUCUCUAGCAACGACUUCAAGUCUAUCCAACCUGAUUAAGAGCAUUUGCGCGCUCCUCGUAUGAAUGUCAUGACACGUGCAACAAACAGAAACAAAUAGCAUAAUUUAAAGUGUACAAUGGUACGCUGACCAUACACUCCUACACUCUUGCAUGAUACGUAAAGCUGAAAAGGGAAUGGAUAUUCUGCAUUUUGCAUGUCAACUCAGUUUUUUUCUAAAUAGGCAGAACAAAUAACCAACACAAACUCUUCAUUAAAGUACAUAAUAAAACAACUACUGAGUAGCUGCAACGGCAAAUCAGUCAAAAUAUGCAUAAACGUAACAGCACAUAAAAUAAAAAUACCUUUAACAGGAGAGUCAGACCAAGCAGAUAGACUCCUGCUAAGAAAUCCUAGACGACUUUGUCUACCCUUGACCUGUUUUCCCUUCUGCAGCCAAGGACUCCCACUCCAAGCAUCCGACUGAUGACUGCACGAAAUGAUGGUAAAAUGUUUUAAUGUGACAAAACCCUUUAUCAAUGAUCAGGGGACACAGCCAUUCAUCUAACUGAGCUUUCUUCGACUGCUAAUGUUACCUUCCAAAUACAAAACCUAGCCAGAAAUCUAAACUUCAAGAAAAAUAUAGCUCCACACAAAAAGUUAAAAAUUAUUUUGGCUAAAACGCAUUCACUUCUGUAAUAACAAGAAGUACGCGGGUAAAGAAUGUAUGACUUACAAUUUGAGAUGCCAUUUCAAAGAAGUAAUCAACUUGAUGAUAAUCCAGUAAGAAACCAAAGCGCCCAUUGCUAAAGGAGUAUCGAGAGUGCUCUGAAAAAAUGAAAAGAAUCAAUAACCAAAUAUUUUGGCAAUUACAUCAAAUUAUAAAACUUACUUUAACAUAAGAUUACUGAAUAACCAAUUCAGUCGUAAGUGCCUGUGGGUCCAUAAGACAAAUUUAAAUAAAAACAAGGUUUGAAGUAACAUUGUCCUAAUGGUGCCAGGCAAUAAAUGGUGUUUCUAUGAUCUAAAAAUUGAUCCUCAAAGGGACAAGUAAUAGACAAGAAACACAAUCUAGGUGUAUUGCACUUGGCUAUGGAAAGUGACAUGCUGUACAUGUCUACUGAGUAUUGAGUGUCCAAUAAUCUACUAGCUAAAUCUUAGUACACAAAGACAUGGCCCUAUUAUCCAAAAAUUCCAAUGAUUCUCCUUGGACACAUAUCAGCUAUAAAAAGUCCCCCAAAUAAUUUUAGCAAGGUACAUCAAGUACCGUUACAAAUUUCUACCCCACAUAGUUUAAUUAAGCAGGCAAACAUUCGUACUCGAAUAUCAAGAAUACAGCCAAAAGGAAUGCGAGAGAACACCUGAAAGAUGGAGGUUGUUCCAAUGAUACGCAUAGCCCACUUGACAAAUUGUGCUAUACCAACAUCUACUGUCCCAUCUUUUGAGACAACAAACUCCCUCACAAUCCAGUACCCUAAUGCAGCUCCCGCAGGGAUAAUUCCCACUAGUAAAAAUAUAGAGACCUGGCAGAAAAACACGAGAAGCCAAGACAAUAAAGUGAUCCAAAGAGAAAGUUUCAGAAGCAGACAAUUUGUCUAGAUAUUUAUGAGAAUUUUGCGAAUAUAAGAUUUAGGGAACCAAUUCUUACUGGGUUAUGCAUCUCUUCACUUAGCCCAAAACUCAAACGAAUAGAAUUUACCAUCAGUGAAAACUGAGGAACAAGGAAAGAUCCUGCUCCAAGCUGUCAAAGGCAUAUAAAUUGUAAGAAUUACUUGUACUGUCAAUUACAUGAGGUUAAUAAGUUACCAUGAAGCAACAGUAAACUUCAUGACACCAAUUGUUACCACUGAUCCAUAUAUGGUAAGAUAGAGGACAUUUUUCCUUCCAGUUGGCAACAGCUUCAUUCCCUGAAAGAUUAAAAACAAACAAUGAUGCAAAACAUUACCUACAAAUUUGCAAGCUAAAACUGCAGGUGAAAGAUAAUGAUCACAAAAUCCUGUAAUUACAAUUCGUUUUAUAGGAGAUCUGAAAUUCAAACUACCCAAUGAAAAACUAAGAGCAUCCAAGUCAAACAAAAAUACAUCGGAAUCACACAAAAAAUUACCUGGAAGAGAAUGAUUAUCAUGACCAUAAAAACUCCUAUAACCAUUGAAGUGCUAUAAUAAAAAGGUACCCAAUUGCUGACAAUUGGUGCCAACAAUAGUAAAGUAAAUCCCAGUGCAAGACACACAAGGCGCCAUCUCUGAAAAUCUGUACAGACAAAAACAGAUAACUAUCAGAGCCUGCAAAUUGUAGCAUAAGCAAUUAUAGUCAGCCACACUUCUAUUUUUAUCAGACCUUCUUCAACAGUUAUGGUGACAGAGUCAGGUAUUUUGCCAAUGAACUUGACAUCAACAUAUCUUUCAUCAUAAGGCGACAUGACAGAGCUCCAUAACCCUUUCUGAAGAUUUUUCCAAUCAUCCUCUACACACUGACAUAAUCCAAGCGUAUUAUUCCUGUAAAAAAAAAUUCAUGAGUGAGACAAAACAAUCCACACAAAAAAGGUGUGCGUGUGUGUGAG
rnacentral:lncRNA from 1 species